rnacentral:rRNA from 1 species
GACGAACGCUGGCGGCGUGCUUAACACAUGCAAGUCGAACGGAAAGGCCCUGCUUUUGUGGGGUGCUCGAGUGGCGAACGGGUGAGUAACACGUGAGUAACCUGCCCUUGACUUUGGGAUAACUUCAGGAAACUGGGGCUAAUACCGGAUAGGAGCUCCUGCUGCAUGGUGGGGGUUGGAAAGUUUCGGCGGUUGGGGAUGGACUCGCGGCUUAUCAGCUUGUUGGUGGGGUAGUGGCUUACCAAGGCUUUGACGGGUAGCCGGCCUGAGAGGGUGACCGGCCACAUUGGGACUGAGAUACGGCCCAGACUCCUACGGGAGGCAGCAGUGGGGAAUAUUGCACAAUGGGCGGAAGCCUGAUGCAGCAACGCCGCGUGCGGGAUGACGGCCUUCGGGUUGUAAACCGCUUUCGCCUGUGACGAAGCGUGAGUGACGGUAAUGGGUAAAGAAGCACCGGCUAACUACGUGCCAGCAGCCGCGGUGAUACGUAGGGUGCGAGCGUUGUCCGGAUUUAUUGGGCGUAAAGGGCUCGUAGGUGGUUGAUCGCGUCGGAAGUGUAAUCUUGGGGCUUAACCCUGAGCGUGCUUUCGAUACGGGUUGACUUGAGGAAGGUAGGGGAGAAUGGAAUUCCUGGUGGAGCGGUGGAAUGCGCAGAUAUCAGGAGGAACACCAGUGGCGAAGGCGGUUCUCUGGGCCUUUCCUGACGCUGAGGAGCGAAAGCGUGGGGAGCGAACAGGCUUAGAUACCCUGGUAGUCCACGCUGUAAACGGUGGGUACUAGGUGUGGGGUCCAUUCCACGGGUUCCGUGCCGUAGCUAACGCUUUAAGUACCCCGCCUGGGGAGUACGGCCGCAAGGCUAAAACUCAAAGGAAUUGACGGGGCCCCGCACAAGCGGCGGAGCAUGCGGAUUAAUUCGAUGCAACGCGUAGAACCUUACCUGGGUUUGACAUGGAUCGGGAGUGCUCAGAGAUGGGUGUGCCUCUUUUGGGGUCGGUUCACAGGUGGUGCAUGGCUGUCGUCAGCUCGUGUCGUGAGAUGUUGGGUUAAGUCCCGCAACGAGCGCAACCCUUGUUCACUGUUGCCAGCACGUUAUGGUGGGGACUCAGUGGAGACCGCCGGGGUCAACUCGGAGGAAGGUGGGGAUGACGUCAAGUCAUCAUGCCCCUUAUGUCCAGGGCUUCACGCAUGCUACAAUGGCUGGUACAGAGAGUGGCGAGCCUGUGAGGGUGAGCGAAUCUCGGAAAGCCGGUCUCAGUUCGGAUUGGAGUCUGCAACUCGACCUCAUGAAGUCGGAGUCGCUAGUAAUCGCAGAUCAGCAACGCUGCGGUGAAUACGUUCCCGGGGCU